rnacentral:rRNA from 1 species
UACGAAGGGGGCUAGCGUUGCUCGGAAUCACUGGGCGUAAAGCGCACGUAGGCGGAUCUUUAAGUCAGGGGUGAAAUCCCAAGGCUCAACCUUGGAACUGCCUUUGAUACUGGGGAUCUCGAGUCCGGAAGAGGUUGGUGGAACUGCGAGUGUAGAGGUGAAAAUUCGUAGAUAUUCGCAAGAACACCCAGUGGCGAAGGCGGCCAACUGGUCCGGU